AACGCGAAGAACCUUACCAGGGCUUGACAUGCUGUUGCACCGGGUAGAGAUACUCGUGCCCGCAAGGGACAGCAGCACAGGUGCUGCAUGGCUGUCGUCAGCUCGUGCCGUGAGGUGUUGGGUUAAGUCCCCCAACGAGCGCAACCCCUAUCGUUGGUUGUAUUUUCCAGCGAAACUGCCCGCAAGGGAGGAAGGAGGGGAUGACGUCAAGUCAGCACGGCCCUUACGUCCUGGGCUACACACACGCUACAAUGGCUGGUACAAUGGGUCGCCAACCCGCAAGGGGGAGCCAAUCCCAGCAAAGCCGGCCUCAGUUCAGAUUGGUGGCUGAAACCCGCGCCAUGAAGGUGGAGUUGCUAGUAACCGCAGGUCAGCACACUGCGGUGAAUACGUUCCCGGGCCUUGUACACACCGCUCGUC
rnacentral:rRNA from 1 species